rnacentral:rRNA from 1 species
UACAGAGGGGGCAAGCGUUAUUCGGAAUUAUUGGGCGUAAAGGGCGCGUAGGCGGCCAUGCGUGUCUUCCGUGAAAUCCCUCGGCUUAACUGAGGACGUGCGGAAGAAACUGCAAGGCUCGAGUCCGGGAGAGGGGGGUGGAAUUCCCAGUGUAGCGGUGAAAUGCGUAGAUAUUGGGAGGAACACCAGUGGCGAAGGCGGCUCACUGGACCGGAACUGACGCUGAGGCGCGAAAGCGUGGGUAGCAAACAGG